AACGAACGCUGGCGGCAGGCCUAACACAUGCAAGUCGAACGGUAACAGGUCUAGCUUGCUAGAUGCUGACGAGUGGCGGACGGGUGAGUAACGCGUGGGAAUCUGCCUUCUAGUGGGGGAUAGCCCGGAGAAAUCCGGAUUAAUACCGCAUACGCCCUACGGGGAAAGCCGGGGAGUCUUCGGACCUGGCGCUAGUAGAUGAGCCCGCGUGAGAUUAGCUUGUUGGUGGGGUAAUGGCCUACCAAGGCAACGAUCUCUAGCUGGUCUGAGAGGACGAUCAGCCACACUGGGACUGAGACACGGCCCAGACUCCUACGGGAGGCAGCAGUGAGGAAUAUUGGACAAUGGGCGAGAGCCUGAUCCAGCCAUGCCGCGUGCAGGAAGACGGCCCUAUGGGUUGUAAACUGCUUUUUGUACGGGAAGAAACACCCCCUCGUGAGGGGGCUUGACGGUACCGUAAGAAUAAGGAUCGGCUAACUACGUGCCAGCAGCCGCGGUAAAG
rnacentral:rRNA from 1 species